CGCGGCGAGAGCGGGUCG
rnacentral:snRNA from 1 species